rnacentral:rRNA from 1 species
GACGAACCGUGCAAACGUUAUUCGGAAUAACUGGGCUUAAAGCGCGCGUAGGCGGCGUCGCAAGUCGAUGGUGAAAUCCCAACGGCUCAACCGUGGAAUUGCCUUCGAUACUGCGAUGCUCGAGGGAGGUAGGGGCAUGUGGAACUUCCAGUGGAGCGGUGAAAUGUGUUGAGAUUGGAAGGAACGCCGGUGGCGAAAGCGACAUGCUGGAUCUCUUCUGACGCUGAGGCGCGAAAGCUAGGGUAGCGAACGGG